UACGAAGGGGGCUAGCGUUGCUCGGAAUCACUGGGCGUAAAGCGCACGUAGGCGGACUCUUAAGUCGGUGGUGAAAUCCUGGAGCUCAACUCCAGAACUGCCUUCGAUACUGGGAGUCUCGAGUCCGAGAGAGGUGAGUGGAACUGCGAGUGUAGAGGUGAAAUUCGUAGAUAUUCGCAAGAACACCAGUGGCGAAGGCGGCUCACUGGCUCGGUACUGACGCUGAGGUGCGGAAGCGUGG
rnacentral:rRNA from 1 species